rnacentral:rRNA from 1 species
UACGAAGGGGGCUAGCGUUGCUCGGAAUCACUGGGCGUAAAGCGCACGUAGGCGGCUCUUUAAGUCAGAGGUGAAAUCCUGGGGCUCAACCCCAGAACUGCCUUUGAUACUGAGGAGCUUGAGUCCGGGAGAGGUGAGUGGAACUGCGAGUGUAGAGGUGAAAUUCGUAGAUAUUCGCAAGAACACCAGUGGCGAAGGCGGCUCACUGGCCCGGUACUGACGCUGAGGUGCGAAAGCGUGGGGGAGCAAACAGG